UCCCUAUGUACCUGAGGACCUUGCAGGCUUUCUGAAGUACAAUUGGAGGCCAGCGCCCGGAGCAUAUUGUCUGGAGGAGCUCACCGAGGAAACUGAGAGUUUGGUCAGCAAUUGUAAAUAUCCUCCCUCCAUUGGGUUUGUUUGUUCUGCUGUACGCUGGGCGACUGGGCCGUGGGACACCCUGGCACCAGCGUGUGGAUCCAGAAGGCGCACAAAGCUCUGCUCUCUGCUGAAUGAGAUUAUGCUGUGAAGGGAGUGGAGGAGUUCCAAACUUGCACUGACAUCGCUGGGAGCAGAACAGGGCGCGGCAAUUGAAUUUGCUCAGCAUAACACAACUGGAGCAGGGAGGCCGUGACCAACAACUUGCACGUUGCUUUGUGAGAAACCUGGACCUUCAAAGUCUUUCUGUCAAACACAGCACGGGUUUCUCUACAACACGAGGAUUUGCUGAUGAGAGAUGCUAAAUGUCAGCUCGCUCCCAAAUGUCAUGUGAACCCUGCAGCUUCCCAAGGCACAGAUGUGGGACCCAGCCCACCCUGCUCUAUUGUUUGUAGGCUGCACAGAGGCUUAUCCCUGGAGGAUAUCCUGUCUGAGAUUACCCUGUGCCUGUCUGCCCCAUGGGGCCGGGCACUCAGAAUUAAAUAAUGCCAGAGCAGGGCUCAUCUGCAGGGCAUGGGGCUGCCCUCUCUCAGGGGUUUAGUGCUGUGCUCUGGUCCCAUUCCCCAGGGCAUCACUGCAGCUGCUUGGUGCCCACAGGGAUGGGUGCUGCAGAUAUGGGUGUCCCCAGCCUGGAGGGCCUCGCUGGGGCAGCAGCACCCAGUGUGUUCCCAUCAGCUCUCAGCGAAUGCAAGCAAAUGCUACUCAAAUAGCUUUUCUCACUGUAGUUUUGGUGACACUGAGUUGUUUUCUGAGCCUGUGCCAUGUUUGCUGAAGCUUUUGUUCAGAUUUUCAGGGUUUUUUGCUCAUCGCUGAGCAGUGAUGAGAGGGAACCAUGGCAGGGAUAAGCUGAGGUGACAAGGGCUGGUUGUGUGCAUGUGGUUCCAUCUCAUAAUGAAGAGAAAUUGAGCUUUUGAGCUCAUUCAUUAAUCUCCAGGAUUCUUAGAGGCUUUCAUAAGAGUGAUAAUGCUGUUCAUUUAUUUCAAGUGGCUGCUCUAUCUUUCAUUAGUAGCAGAAACACAAAAAUGCUCCCUUUGGGUGUAAAUGGCAAAUCAUGGUUUUGUGCUUAACUGCCAUCCCGUAGGACGUGGAAAAGAAACAUCAGAAAAGAAACCAAAAAUGAAACCUUAAUGCUUCUGGAGAAGCCUCUUUGUUACUUGUAAUUGAAAGAAGGAGAAGAGGAAAGUCCACAGUGAUUUAUUCAGAGCUAAGAGGGACUGGGGAAGGUGAGGAGGUUCUGGUGGGGACGUUUGAGGCUGGUGAAUGCCCACAGGUCCCAGUUACGUGGAAGGAUCUGGGUCUCCCCAGUCUUAGCUGCUGCUCAGUGGGGCUGAGAGCAGGGAGGCAGUGGAAACCUUGGGAGCAGUGAGGUGUCCAGUCUUUCCCUUGCUUUCCUGAUCUAAUUGAUCCUCAUUCAACUCUCCUGAACUCAGCUUGCUCUGUUGGCUGGGUGCUGUUGGCUGGGUGCUGGCUCCUGAGCAGCGCCAGGGCAGUUGGAGAGGAUCUGUUGUAUUAGCAGCUAUAAAUCACAGCCUUGCACUGAGCCAGCUCAGCUCCCAGCCCCUUCCCUCUCCCAUCUGGAAAAACAGAUGGUUGCUGUCCUCCCCCUGCAUCUGUGGGGAUGCACCAUGAAUUACACGGGUGUGUGCUCCUGAGGGUGUGUGGGAAAUCCAGACGUGCUCAGCUUUCCCACUGUGUAAGAUGUGACAAGAAUUCAGAUUUCACUUUCUGCAGAGGGGAGAAAAAUAUCCACUAUUUGCUGCUGUUUAGCAGAUGCUGGAGGGGAGUGGGCACCUGGUCCAGUGCAGAGAGCCUCCCCUUAGGCUGCAGCACCGGGAGAGUGGCUCCUGCAGAAGUUGUAGCAUGAAUAACUCGCUUCAGCACUUCAUUUGGCUACAAGCUCCUUUGGAGCUGGCUCCAGUCUGGCCCUUAAUGAGCUGAGAAGACUUGAAGUCUUCUGCACCCAGGCUUAACAUUCACCAGAACUUCAGCUUUUUUUUCUUUUCUUUUCUUCCUGUGCUUCAUAUGAGGGAAGCAGAGACAUGACCGAGGCAAGAAGCUGAACUCCUCCCCAGGGAGAUUGUCUGCAAUGGUAGAGAGCCUGCAGGUCCUCAUCCUGGGGGUGGGAAUGGAAUGCUGCUGUGACUGAGAUCCGAGGGGCAGUGGGGACAGCUGGAGCCCAUCUCCUUCCACCUGGCGUGGAUGCGGUGCCGCAAGUUCUUACUGUCGGCCCAUGGGCUGUGAUGAGGUUACUGCAACACUGACUCACUUGGCAGAUGGACACGACCCAUGAGUCAGCCUGAAUCACAUCCGCUGCAUCUCGGGGUGCGUUGCUGCUCUUGAAGCCUUUGAUGUGAGAUGUACGUCUGAUUCCUUGGAAACUGCUUCCCUUAAUUAAAUCAAAGGAAAAGCAUCAUUGGAGCUCAAAGACCCAAUUAGCAGGAAAAGCAAACUCCAGCUCUGAGCAUUUAAACCCAUUUCUGGCAGGACACCCUGAGCUCUGCUUUGUCAGCCAGGAGUUUCCAAAGGGCUCUGACUGUUGCAAAUGGUAUGAUGGUGCUGAUCACAGCAACUGUCCAACUCCAUGAGAUAUUUGGAGGAGAGAUGGGCAGAGAAGCCCAGGUGCUGCAGGGCAGCAGCUCAGUGGGGCAAGCACUGGAGGAGCUGAGUGCUGCUCCUGAGCGUGUGCUCGUUGAUGAGCAUGAGCAAAAGGAAAGAUCCUCCUCCUCCAGAUCCUGGACCUUUUAAAUCCCUUUCCGUCAGCUUUGGUGCAUGACCUGGUGAACCCAGAGAGGUUCUUUCAUUGCUCCUGUCGCAAGAAAUGGGCAAACAAAAGUUGAACCAAAAUAAAGAAAAGUGUUUGCUGAGAAGUGGAACAAUUUGCUGCCAGUAAGCAAAAGAAAACAAAACCAAAUGGGCUGAAGCUUUGCUGGAGCGCAGAAAAACAGCCCUCUGCGGGACAGAGGUGUUUAGGGUGAGCUGUGCGGGUUGUGUGCUGUCCCAGUGCCUGUGGAGAUCGCUCCCCAUGGGCACAUCUGUGGGGCUGUGCAAAUGAGGGCAGGAUGCUUGAGUUUGCAGCCCUGAAACGUGCACAUGUCAUUUCUUUCUCUGCUCAGCUCCCUCCUAUUGCCACCAGUUUAAACCAGUUAAAGCUAGCCAAGGGUGCUGCAGGUGGGUUUGCUGUGGAUCUGGAACACCAGAGAGGGCCCUGGUGCUGCGAGGGGCUCUACCUGCUAUUGCUAUUGGCUUGUAAUGAAGCUGAUAUCUUGGUGGUUGGAUGUAGGUGCUGUCAUCUACCUGAGGACAAGUGCACGUGGUUUGGCUGCAGAAAUUGUUUUUACAAGUAUACGUGGAGUUAUGGAAUCACUUUAAAAACAUUUUUUUUAUUUAUUAAAUAUUUGGAAACUUUCCUGCUGUCCAAUGUAUUGCAGUGCAGUUGCAGUGCUGCAGGUUUGGCCUUUCCUGGGUUAAAAGAACUGGGUGCAUUGCACAGGAUCCCAUGUGUUUGUGGUUGUUGAGUUCAGCAUUUUGGUGUGUGUUUUUGGAGGAGUGAUUCAUGUGUUUUUGCUCAGGGCUAACUCCAUUCCAGCUCAGAGCAGGCCAGCAGUGAUAUGGGCUUAGUUCUGUGACUUCCACUUUGCUAAAUACCAAACCCAGGACUAAGAUGGCUCAUGUCUGGCUUCCAAUUUACCUUAAAUGAAAUGGUCUAAAACCAAAGCUGAGGGCUAUGUGGGAAUAUAGACCUCCUUUUAAACCUCUCUUACUUCAUCAUUUAUCUUCUCCUUGCCAAAAGAAUGAGAAAGAUUUCUUUUCUUUCUUUAAAUGAGUGUCAAAUACCAGAAAACUGCUGGUGAAACCUUGUGCAAUACUGAAAUUGCAGAGAGGUUUUUGGAUUCCCCUUUGAUCCCUUACACUUCCCUUGCCAGCAGGGAUGCUCUGUCAGCAGCAACUUCUAAAGGGUGUCCGGGGCUCGGAUGAGAGAUGUUGAUGCUCAAGGAAGAGCUCUGAUCUGUCCUGGGGUGCAAGGAAGCCCUUGGGGUGGGAUCCCAAGGAGGAGGGUGGUGACUUCAGCCCAAUUCAGUGGCAGGGAAUCCUCUUGCUGCCAUGCAGGCUCCUGCAUUUGGGAGAGCAGCGCUGCCUGCAGCAGGGAGCACCAGUGCUUCCUUCACUGCACAUCUCUGAGCGCCUCCGAAACCCAGCGCUGCCGCAUCUGUGUGCGUGAACUGAACAUCUGGGAAAGGUUAGGGUCAAGCAUAUAAAAGGGGGAGCACAGCACAUCUCAUUAAAAUGCUCAAUCUGUGACGUCAAUUGAACCGAUUGAGCCCUUCUGCAUUGCAGUCGGGGAACCAUUAACUUUAUCCAGUGGAGAAUGUUUAUAUGGAAAAUAUGAGGCCAGGAAGUUUCUCUUGAUUGUGACAUGAAGGCUAUCAAAGUAGCUCGUGCUUUUUUUUUUAUAUAUGUAUGUGCUGCUUUUCCACCCUGUUGCUGUAACGGCAGCCAUGUCCCUGCCCCUUGAGGUGCCAUUUGCUCCCUCUUUGCACCACUGGGUGCUGCUGAGCUGCUCUGAAUUCUCCCAUUUCAUAGGCAGCUUCCUACAACAUAUGCAUAGGCUGGCUGUGCUCCAACAUACACUUGGAAGAAUUAGGUUAGGUUUAGGCAUGCAAUAGAAAAUAGCUUCCAUGGGAACAAAACUUCUACUCUUGCAGUUCUUUUAAAAAAAAAAAAAAAGUUUAAAAAAUGAAGAUAGCAUGUGAAAAGAACAGCCCCAAAUAUCAGGAGAUGGGUGUACGAUGCUCCAGUGUGCCCAGAGAGCAUUUGCUGCUCUGCUGAGAGAAGCAUUUGAGGGCGCUGAACUCCUGCAGUGUGGGUCCCUCCAUUUGAGCAUCAUUCUCCUCCUUACCGUUCCCUCCCAGCUCUCUCUUUUCUUACCAUCUGUCUACAAGAAGAGAGUUCCAUCCCAUGUUUUAGAUCCUGGGUGUGUAUUUCUGUCGUAUAUUUUCCUGAAACGCUCUUAUAUUCAAGAGAUGGCCCAACGUCUCUCCCCAUCACUUCAGCAGUGUUUGUCGUGGGUGAGCUCAGCCUGGGGCUCCUUGGAGAAAGGCCUCGGAGUGAACCUUUCCUCUUUGGGAAGGGGCUCUCUGCAGGUGGGCUUCUACUUUUUAAACUUGAAAGAGAUUUUGUUUAACUUCUGAGCAAGCCCUUUGCUUUUGGUGACCUGCUCUCAGGCACACAGACCAGCUGGGAAAACAAGAGAGCCAUCAAAGCUUUGGUGUCGGCUGAAGACAUGGCAGAAACUAUGAGAAAAAUGGGUUCCUUGCUGUGCAGCUGGGUGGUCCUAUGGAGUCUGCAUGUCGGGCCAGGUCCUGUGGAACUUCCCUCUGAGCACCUGUAUCUCCCUGGUAAAAUCAGGCGUCUCACCUACCUCGACUUCAUGUUCCAAGGCUUCCAAAGUCCACACACUGCUGUUCUAAAACUGCACUUUGUGGAGCAGCAGGACUGGGGAUGGCUGCUGCAGCCGCCUGGGCUGUGGGGAUUGUGGCACCUGAAGAAGUUUGCAUCUUGGAUCUGCCCGGGGUCCUUCAGCUGGGCUGUGUGAGCAGCUCACCCUGCUGUGAAGCUCAGGCAGCAGUUUGCUGAGGCAAAGCACGAAGCUGCUUUUUGAAGCCGUGUAUGUGAGGCUCUGGAGGUCACAAUGCAGGACGGGUCAGCCAGUGUGCUGUUUAAAAAGCAUUACAAUAUUCAAAAUGAAAACACUUUUUUUUCUCCUUUGAAUCACGGCAAUCAACUGAAGUGCUUCCAGACCAACUGUUUGAAACUGGAUAUUUAAUUUAUUUUGUGUUGUUUAGCACUGGGUCUCCGUGUUGCUGGAACAACAAGAAAAAGAGGCCAAUCCUUACAAGGUCAGGACAGUUUGCCAAGCUUAAGAAUCUCAUUUUAUACUUUAAUUGGCUGACCUGUCAGAAUAAGAAUGAAAACCCCCGUUAGCUGCACUCUGCUUAUUGAGGCAUUGCUCAGCACGGGGCAGUGCCAUGGUGAGGUGCAGGAUUAUCAUCAUUUCUGUCCUAUUGAUGUAUAGAAGUGUUAGUGCUGCCAUUUUUAGGGAGAAGCAACGUGAGGUAUCAGUGCAAAGCUCAGCCAGAACUACGGCCAUUAGACUUGUUUUUUGUUUUCUAAACAAAUCUUGUGUAAAACUCCAAGCAGUGCCUGAUUUCAAAACAGAGCUGUCCUUGGGCAGGAGUUCACGCAAAUGGAUCCAGAGUUUCUUUGGGGUUUCAGACAGCUGUGCUCUGCUCUGCAGUGCUGGGGAAGCUCAGGACAAGCCGUCAUUUCUUGUCGUGCUUGUGAACAUUUUCAUGGUCUCCUUCGCACAACCCUGACUUCCAGCUCUGCCCAGGGCCCUUUGCUCAGUGGAAAAGAGAUGUUUGAUGUGAGUUCAGCUGAGUUUUUGGGUGGGAGAGCUGACAUGCAUUGACAGGAACAGACUGAAGCUGGGAUGUUGUGAAAUAAUAGUAAUGAGCUCUGAUGAAUGACAUCAAAACUUGACUGAAGCAAAGCCUAAUGCGAUAUACAGAGAGCCAGAGGACAGAUAGGAACCAUGGAGGAAGCUGAGGAGGAACAAUGCAGCCAUGAUAAGAUAGCGUCUGGGAGAAAACAAUGCAAAAGUGACUGGGGCAGCAGAAAACCAUGCCUGGUGCCAAGAAAGAAAGCAGCGUGGUAGCACCGAUGGCCAUAUAUCGAUGGUCUGAGCAAGAGGGAGAGCCCAAGGGUUGGGAGAAAGGCUAGAAGGAGACCAGAGGCCCAGACCUCCCAACACAGGCGACGUGGUUCCUUCGUUGCUGAAGAUGGAAAGGCCACUUGCUUUGGACCGCUUUUAUCCCGCUUUAUUAUCGAGGCAAUACAAAAUAAAAACAUGGGUGUGGAAGAAGCAGAGAGAGGAAAAAAAUAUCCUGAUGGUAAAUGGAGUGGAAGUGGGCGAGGCAGGGGAACGGGAUUCAGAUCGGGCUGACACUGGUUAUUUAUUGCUGUUUGUAUCCCCAUAUCUUACAUCUCAAGAGGAAGGCGAAGGCUUUGUCCGCCAGGGCUGUUAUCUGCUGAGGGCGGCUGGCAACAGCCGGGUUCCCAUGGCUGUGUCCCUUUGGGCUGACCCUGUGCUGGCUUUGAGGUGGGUGACGGGAUUGUGGGGCGUUCAGGUAGCAGCGGGCCGCCGUCGUGCUCACACGUCACGGGAAGUCAUUCGGAGAGCUUUGCAGGGAAGGAGAGAUGAUGCUGAUGAGUUUUGAACGUGGUGGGAUGGCACAGUCCAUGGAGGCCAUCUCUGCUCAGCAGAACGUGUCAGCAUGUGCAUAGCUGUGGGCAUCUAACAAGUACUGAAGCCUUGACACAGGGCUGUGCAUAAUCCUCUUCUCUUUUCCUAAAUUAAACUCACCCCAUAAAACUCUGCUAUAAUGAAAUCAGGGACAGCAAAGCCAGUCUUGCUCUAAUUUUUGUAUUUGUUCCCAGAGGUUACUUGGCAAAAUUGUACUCUGUGUACUUCUACAGAAGAAAUCUAGGACGUAAUUAUUUGAAUAGAGAGCUAUAAGUGAUAAAAAUCUGUUUGUAGCACAGUAUCUCCAGCCAAAUGAUUGACGUACUAGCUGCUGUCCUUCCAUUGAUGCAACUUUUCAAUUUCCUGUUGUCUAAGCUUGAUUUAUUUCUCCAUUUAUUUGGGUUUCACAAAGAACACUUAGAGCUUGCCACUUGGGUCUCUUUUUCUUUUUGUCAGUUUGACCCUCUCAGUCUUCAGACUCUUCAUUGUUCCUGCAAACAAUGAGAAAGAUGGAAAGAGCAGCUGUGAAUGGUGGCCUGGUUACCCAGGUGUCUGACUGGUACUGAGGGAGGCCUGUGUUCCUGAAAGAGAGAAAUUCAGGCAGGUUCCUAUUUUUUGCUGCCCUCAACACAUGAUUUGCAGAGAUGCCAGCAGGACUGAAAAAAAAUCAAAGCAAAGGAGGAGAGCUGCUUUAGUAAACCUCAUGGUUUUCUCUGGUUGCACAAUGGAUGCAUCACACAGAGCUCUGCAAGACCUGCUUAGAAAGAUUUUACCAAGUUAUUUUUUAGAGAGCCUUUCCUCUUCUCAUCACUCAGCUGUUCUCUUCCUUGCCCACCUGCAUUCUGCAAGGCAGUGGGCAGGAGGCACAGCUUGCACUGAUUCUGCAGAGCAGCUUCAGCAGGGGCUGCUUGUGACCACAGUGACUUGUGCCUAUCCUGCCUGCAAACCACUACCGAUUUCCAGCUGGUAGAAGUCCUCUGGUUCCUUUGGAAAUCAGCUACAUGUUGCUCCUUGUCCCAGGGUAGCAGAGUCUUGAAAGCAAGUCAAGAAAAAGCAGAUUGAAUUCAGAAGCAAAAAGUGAUUUGUUGCCUGCAGAUUUGUAACGUGAUCGUUCCAAUAUGGCCCUGGAAUAGUGAGGUACUUCUUGCAGCUCACUCCAUGGAGGUUUAUGUGAGGCACAUGAAAAGAGGG